GAUGAACGCUGGCGGCGUGCCUAAUACAUGCAAGUCGAGCGAACAGACGAGGAGCUUGCUCCUCUGACGUUAGCGGCGGACGGGUGAGUAACACGUGGAUAACCUACCUAUAAGACUGGGAUAACUUCGGGAAACCGGAGCUAAUACCGGAUAAUAUAUUGAACCGCAUGGUUCAAUAGUGAAAGACGGUUUUGCUGUCACUUAUAGAUGGAUCCGCGCCGCAUUAGCUAGUUGGUAAGGUAACGGCUUACCAAGGCAACGAUGCGUAGCCGACCUGAGAGGGUGGUAGGCCACCUUGGAAGGUGAGCAGCGGCCAGACUCCUACGGGAGGCAGCAGUAGGGAAUCUUCCGCAAAGGGCGAAAGCCUGACGGAGCAACGCCGCGUGAGUGAUGAAGGUCUUCGGAUCGUAAAACUCUGUUAUUAGGGAAGAACAAAUGUGUAAGUAACUAUGCACGUCUUGACGGUACCUAAUCAGAAAGCCACGGCUAACUACGUG
rnacentral:rRNA from 1 species